GAGUUACAGACAUGCUGGUCUCCCGUGUGUUCCUUGAACCUGUCAGGCUUGCUGGGCUGUGCUCACUAUCCAGACACCUGGAUCCCCAGCUCUCUGCAUAGCUGCCUCUUGUCUCUGAGGUAUGGGCCCAAAUGCCAUCUCUCCUAAGAGGCUUUUCCUAACCACCCAGUUCCAGCACUGUCCGGACAGAGGCGGCCCAGCUGAAUACCUGAGUUCUCAGGGCCAUGCAGAGCAGCCUGACCAUGAGGAUGGGCCCCUGUGGUGUACGACCUCAGCUCUUCAAAGGUCACAAUUUCCAGUCUUCCAAGCAGUCUUCUGAUUACGAACAUGGUUUUCUCCCUUCACUUAAGAGAUUUGGGGGUUCAGAUCUCAGCACAGAUAUCUGGAGAGUGUGGGGUCAGGGAAGAGCAGCAAGAGGAAUGGAUAUCCAGACAUAGGGCACACUCGACAGAGAGAGAGAGAGAGAAGAGAGAGAGAAGAUGAGAAGAGAAGAGAGAGGAGAGAGGAGGGAGCCCUCGCACACAAUGCUUCCACGUAUUGCUGUACUCCACCCCUUGGUCUGCAGCCAUAGCCGUACUUGGCAGAACACAAUACUCUCUGUGGUUCUGCCUCUUGGCAUCAAGUUGUUCUUUGAUCUUUGGUUAAGAAACCAUGCCUGACUUAUGCAUGGCCCUGAUGGAAGUUGCUUACAUUCAUUUUCCAUGUGUGGAAUGGUCUGACUUGGCCCAUGUACUUCCCUGUCUCUACAGAGGAAGCUCUACCUGGGACAACAAACCAGGCCCUUAAAACUUUCCAUGGUUGAAAAACGAAAAAAAACAAAAACAUUUUAUGGCUAAUGACUCCAGUCCAAAACAAUUAACAAGAUCUGAACCACGAAUGCCUUUUUAAUCUCAGGAGAAUAAUCAUCAUUUUCAUCAGUGUCUGACAGGACUCCUGUGAGACAGAGCGUGGGCAUUACUUUCUCAGCCUAACUCGCCUGGGCAGAAGGAGACAUGGCCGGAAGGUCUUACCAUUUGCCUUGGAUGUGGUACUCUUUCUGAGGUCUCCGACUCUCUUAAAAUCCUGUUCAAAAUGAUCAUGUGGACAGCAGGAAAUGGACCCGAAGUGUCACUGCACAGGGAGUCUUAACCAUCUGCAUUUGCGGCACCUGCACUGUCAGCCGCCCUCUCUGAGGCACACUUCUGCUUCUUCAAAUGCCUGCAGAGACCAGGGGGCAGUCCAGAAGUGAAGACAGAGGGAGGACAGCAAGGGAAGCCCCAGCUCAAAGAAGUGACUGGGCUAGGGUGGCCCUCCUCAGAGAUGCUUCUGCCUGCCUGCUGAGUGUCACUGUUGAGCUCUUCCCCAGUGCAGAGCUUUGCCCUGCUUUGUUUUCGUUAUUCACUCUUUCAUGCAAAACUGAAAUUGAACUGGGUCUGAAGACACUAAAAAAUGUCUGGGUAGGGGGCUACACGGAGCAGGGGUUUUCCUGAGAGAAUGGAAUGUCCCAUGAGAAAUUUCACUUACCAUGAGAGGGGAAGUCCGUUUCGUAUGACAUGAUAUAACAUUGUCAUUAUAAACUCUCCAUUGGGUUUCAUGUGUUAAUAUUUAUCAUUCUUUUGAUUAGUUAUUCAUCAAGAAAACCCUGUGGAUUCUGAGAAAAUCAUCAUGUAUCGAGGGUUCCUCAGGCUAGAUGAUGGACCCAGAAUCAUUUUCUCUAUUCUUUACAACAGAGAACUUGCUGGGUUGGUUGGUUGGUUUGUUUUACCAAACACCACUUGGCCUGCAGGCGAGGAGCUGUCCUUGCCCAGAUGAGACAAUCUCAUCUGAAGCAACAACCUGGUACCAGGAUAUCAUGUUUACUCAUGAGAAUACCAUUGACCAUCGGCCUUCAAGUGAAGGUUGACCUGUGCAUUUUUUUUUUUUAAGACAGAGUCUCACUCUGUCCCCCAGGCUGGAGUGAAGUGGUGCGAUCUUGGCUCACUGCAACCUCUGCCUCCUGGGUUCAAGUGAUUCUCAUGCCUCA